rnacentral:rRNA from 1 species
GAUGAACGCUGGCGGCGUGCUUAACACAUGCAAGUCAAGGGGGCCCAGCAAUGGGCAACCGGCGAACGGGUGCGUAACACGUGAGCAACCUACCGAAAUGUGGGGGAUAGCCGGCCCAACGGCCGGGUAAUACCGCAUACGCUCGAGACCAGGCAUUUGGAUUCGAGGAAAUCUACGGAGCAUUUCGAGGGGCUCGCGGCCUAUCAGCUAGUUGGUGGGGUAACGGCUCACCAAGGCGACGACGGGUAGCUGGUCUGAGAGGAUGGCCAGCCACAUUGGGACUGAGAUACGGCCCAGACCCCUACGGGAGGCAGCAGUGGGGAAUAUUGGACAAUGGCGAAAGCCUGAUCCAGCGAUGCCGCGUGUGUGAAGAAGGCCUGCGGGUUGUAAAGCACUUUCAGUAGGGAAG